rnacentral:rRNA from 1 species
CCUGGUUGAUCCUGCCAGUAGUCAUAUGCUUAUCUCAAAGAUUAAGCCAUGCAUGUCUCAGCACAAGCCAAUAUAUGGUAAAGCCGCGAAUGGCUCAUUACAACAGCCACUGUUUAUUAGAUCAUCCUUCUUACUUGGAUAACUGUGGAAAAGCUAGAGCUAAUACAUGCUACAAGCUCUGACCUUACGGAAGGAGCGCAUUUAUUAGAACAAAACCAAUCGGACUUUGUCCGUCAUUUGGUGAAUCUGAAUAACUAUGCAGAUCGCACGGUCUUAGAACCGGCGACAUAUCUUUCAAAUGUCUGCCUUAUCAACUUUCGAUGGUAGUUUAUGCGCCUACCAUGGUUGUAACGGGUAACGAAGAAUCAGGGUUUGAUUUCGGAGAGGGAGCCUGAGAAACGGCUACCACAUCCAAGGAAGGCAGCAGGCACGCAAAUUACCCACUCCCGGCACGGGGAGGUAGUGACGAAACAUAACGAGGCGAUUCUCUACGAGACUCGCCAUCGGAAUGGGUACAAUCUAAAUCCUUUAACGAGGAUCUAUUGGAGGGCAAGUCUGGUGCCAGCAGCCGCGGUAAUUCCAGCUCCAAUAGCGUAUAUUAACGUUGUUGCGUUUAAAAAGCUCGUAGUUGGAUCUGCGACCUAGGAUAGCGGUCUGCCAAACGGUGUGUACUGCUCUUUCUGGUCUUGUUAUCCGGUUUUCCCUUGAUGCUCUUUGUUGAGUGUCCUGGGUGGCUGGAGAGUUUACUUUGAAAAAAUUAGAGUGCUCAAAGCAGGCGGUCUGCCUGAAUAAUGGUGCAUGGAAUAAUGGAAUAGGACCUCGGUUCUAUUUUGUUGGUUUUCGGAGCACGAGGUAAUGAUUAAAAGGGACAGACGGGGGCAUUCGUAUUGUGGCGCUAGAGGUGAAAUUCUUGGACCGCCGCAAGACGAACUACUGCGAAAGCAUUUGCCAAGAAUGUUUUCAUUAAUCAAGAACGAAAGUUAGAGGUUCGAAGGCGAUCAGAUACCGCCCUAGUUCUAACCGUAAACGAUGCCAUCUAGCGAUCCGCAGGAGUUAAAUUUAUGACUCUGCGGGAAGCUUCCGGGAAACCAAAGUUUUUGGGUUCCGGGGGAAGUAUGGUUGCAAAGCUGAAACUUAAAGGAAUUGACGGAAGGGCACCACCACGAGUGGAGCGUGCGGCUUACUUUGACUCAACGCGGGGAAACUCACCCGGCCCGGACACCGUAGGGAUUGACAGACUGAUAG